rnacentral:lncRNA from 1 species
GAAUACCAGUCUCCUGGCGGCGGCUGGCACAGCGGAGCUGCUCUCCAAGCAGCGGGGUUCCCAGGCUGGGAAGUUUGCAUUGCCGUUUCUUUGCGGGCGGGCGGCGAGCGCCGACUGCAUGCCACCUGCGAGAGGAAGAGGCCGGUGAAGUCUCACUCUGUUGCCCAGGCUGGAGUGCAGUGGCACGAUCUCGGCUCGCUGCAACCUCCACCUCCCAGGUUCAAGCGAUCCUUCUGUUUCAGCCUCUCCAGUGGCUGGUAUUACAGGAACACACCACCAUGCCUGGCUAAUGCUUCUCUUUCUAUAAAUGAAGACGUGAGGCCGUGUAAGCUCCAAGAGAGCAGGGAUCUUGUUUGUCUUGGUCACCGUGAUAUUUCAGCUGCUGACCCAGUGCUUGAAGCAUAAAGAGAAACUGAGGCCCAUAAAAUUGAAUGGCUCAUCUCAGAUCAAGUGGCCAGAUCAAUGAAGAGAAGUGUCCUUAGGUCCGGCUGCUGGUGUGAAGUAUGCUCUGGAGGUCUGACAUCCACUCUCCCUCAGACUUUCUAAUACGGCAGGAAUUCCGUCCAUGUAUACUCAAGCUAGAGUUGCCAGAUGAAAUGGAGGACAUGGCUGGGUGCGGUGGCUCAGCUCGGAGCAGUGGCUCACGCCUGUAAUCCCAGCACUUUGGGAGGCCGAGGUGGGCUGAUGGCCUGAGGUCAGGAGUUCAAAACCAGCGUGGCCAACAAGAUGUGCCAGUUCUGGUAAAUUUCCUAGCAAGCUUGAAGGAAGUGAAGGACAACUGCAAGGAAGGGCAGGAUGGAGCAUGCAGCCCACGUAUUCCCCAGCUUGGUGGGGCAGAAUGCGUUCUUGGCUCCUGAGGAAUGGGCAGGCAACGCACAGGGGUCCUGGGAAGAAAGGGAGAGAAUAUCCUGGGAGAGCCAUAGACCCUGGCACCCUCCUGUGGUCCUUCAUCAGGAUAAAUUUCUAAAAGAAGAAUUACUGGCCAAAGGAUUCCUCUUCAGUUGGAAACAGCAGCAAAGUUCACAGGUCGUGAGUGGAUGUAAAGUGGACGGAACAGGUUGUUGCCAGUCUAUUGGAGUAGGAUGGUAGAUGAGCAGUCCCGUUGGCUAACAGGUGUGGGUAUGCCUGUUUUAAAAAUUAGCAUGUUGUAGGGGAAUAUUUCUCAAACUUUUGUCACGUAUCUACCUCUUAGGCAUUUUUUACUUUAUUCACCUGUACUACUAUUUAAUAUUUUUAAAAUUCAACUGAUUUUUUUUUUUGCUUAAAUACAUGUCUUUAAAACUGGAACUUUAUUCGCCACUGUAAAUGGAAAACCAGUGUCAUUUGCCAUAUAUAGAAGUGAACUAUAUAGUAAAUACGGUGAAAGUGAAAUGGUAUCAUCACACUUGUGCUAGAUUCCAUUUCCUAUAGAAGGUUCUGGGUUUCUUAAAAGGCUUGUUAAAAAGAGAGAUGAGUAAAUGUGAGAGGAAUUUAAGACAUACUAGCACCAUUAAGACUUUCUCCUUAAAGUAAUCUGGAGGAUUUAAAUUGAGAAUUGAAAAAAGUAACUUUAUUUUACAUAAGAAAUUAUGUAAAAGAAUUAUGUUAUUUAAUGCCACAUCCAUACGUCAUCAAGAGUCAACUUGGUGACCACUAGUGGCCCAUGUCCCACACUUUGAGAAACGUGUGUUGGGGUGGGAAUCUGAAGUCAGAAAAACUGGAGUAUGAUAACCACCUCAGCACUUAUUAGAGGCCUUCACUUGGGAAUGAUGACCCUUCCUUGUAGGGUUGUAGUGAGAAUGACAGAUAAUAUAUGAAAAGAUAAAACAUGGUGCCAGAGGCAUUAGCAGGUGCUGCGAAGGGGCUGUUGUAUUUCUUGUUAUACUGGAGUGGUUCUCCACCCUGGAUGCAUAUUAGAAUCAUCUGAAGGGCUUUUUAAAAAUACAGAUAUCAUGACCUCACCCCUGGAGAUCCUAAUUUAAUUGGUCAGGGGUAGGGUUCUGGCAUUGUUACUUGUUUAAAACAAAGUUCCUCCUCCUUCCCAGUGAUUUUAAUUUGUAGCCAGUGUUGGAAAAACCAUGGACUUAACCCUUUCCUAAGAGCUUAGAUCAAUUCUGCAGAUUAGCUAUCUGCCAUUUUGAAAAGGUGGCAUAAGCUCAGGGAAGUAUUCACUGGACAAAAGGAAUUCUGGAUGGCGGAAGCUCUAGGCACCAUCAGGCACUUGCUUUGUGCUGGAAGCUGCAUCAAAUGGCUUGAGCCCAAAGUAGACAUAAGGGCUCCUUAUUUCCCUGGACACUGGGAAAAUCAUUUCUCUUAUUCCAAGAGAACAAUUUUGCUGACCAUGGAAAUACUAUCUCUGGUUUCCAGAGGUACAGUGCUGUUCAGUGCUCUUCUGGAGGUUGUAGUAUGAAGAAAUGACAAAGCCAAAAAGGCAUUCUGACCUAGGGAGACUAUCUUUAAAGCAAAAUAUAAAUGUAGGGCAAAAACUCUGCGGUCUCAGGAGGAUUGGAUCCAGGGGAAAAUGUUUAAAAGGCAAACGUUUAGAAUCAAUUAUACAGCUUCAGCAAUGGUUUGCUAUUGUCUUGCUGUCUUUUUGUUUUGCUUUGUGUAGUGUUCAGAAUAUCUGCAUCAUGUAGCAUCUUUCUAUUUUUAGGAGUCUUUAAACUCCUUUAUUCUGAGGCCCCAGAAUAUUCUCAUCCACCACGUACUUUCACGUGGAGAUGACUGACUUCAUCUUUGACAAUGGCAGUUCCCUAACCUUGAUCCAGCACGGGAGCAGGAAUUAUGGCGAAAAUGGCCACCCAAACUGCACCCAGUGGGAAAACAGCAUUAACUCAGCUUUUAAAAAAGUGUCAACUUGGAAAAUCCAAGACCUAGAUCUGAUGCUUAGGGACCCACAAUGCCAGGCAGCAGUCUGGGAGAUGUCACUUCUGGAGCUUCUAAUGAGAUGCAAAUCACCUAGUGAACUACUGGGGAGCUGGGAAACAAUGUCCUGGGUAAAAGCAGAUAAAAAUGGAAUGAAAGAAUUUCUUUGAAGAUUGGAACGACAUUUUAAGUGCUUGCGGAUAUGGGACACCAGAUAGUGUUGGUUUUACUAAGCUAAUUGUGACGGGGUCUUUGAUUCCCUGCAGCAGGGGACCCUGGGGCACUCGUCUCCAGCUCUGCCUCACUCUUUGAGGAGCUAGUUCCAGUUCUACUGUGAGUGUGCAAGGGGCUGGUCAGCUGUAGCAAAACCAGCACUGGACAUGGGGGAUCAGAAGACCCCGGCACACAUAGUUCAAGUUGUGACACAUAUUGGUAUGUGACCUUAAGUGAAUCCCUUACCCCUCUGCUGCCAUGUUUUAUGUGUAAAAUGAUAAAGAGAGGGGUGGACUGAGGUAGUAAUUUUUAAUGGAGAACAUUGGUGUGGCAAAUUACACAUGUUCUGGCCUGAAGAUUCUGAGCUGCUCUCCUUGGAGUCACAUUCUUUCCCAGUGUGUGAACAUCUGUGUGCAGUGAGAGACAUGCCUGAUGGGGAUCUGUUGCCUGAAGCCAGUGUGAAGGCAGGAAAAGGGUAAGAACCAUUAGCCCAGAGGCCCUUUAAAGUCCCUUCCAACUUUAAGAUGCUGUAACUCCAGAGUAAUCGCCAGUUAACCUCUUGGAGCCUCAUCUGUGAAACUGACAUAAAUGCUUUUGCUUUUCAGCUUGUUGGAAUUUAAAUACGACCAAUCAAAAUGUGUUUAGGCUUCAAAGGAAAAAGUUCUCCAUAAAUACACCAGAAUUUCAUUCUAACAUGAUUCAUUCAUUCAAAGAGCACAGCUGCACAAGGGGAAGACAGCUGCCACAUGGUAACGCAGUCCUGUAAAGAGUCCCAUGUGGUGAGAGACGUGGUUGGGAGUGAGCUUGGAAGUGGAUCCCCAACCCUCGUCCCCAAACUGAGACUUCACAUGAGACUGCAGCUCUGGCCAACAGCUUCACUGUAACCUCACAACAGACCUUGAGCCACAAGCACCCAGCUAAGCUGCAGGGAGACCCCCUGAAACUAUUGCUACGGAAUAAAAGAUGAAAUGCUCCUGAUUAUUGUAAAUACAAAGUUGCAUGCAGGAUUGUGUAAAGACAAUGCCAGGUUGGACUGCCAGAAUGAGCCAACUGCACGUGAUGUGAUUCCCCCUGCAGAGAGCCUAUGAAUGGACGUGCAGUCAGGGAGGUUUCACAUCACCAAGAUUCCUAUCCUAGAAAGGCAGAUGUUCAUAGCUCUAGGAAUGGAAUGCGACCCUUGUGGAGAGCCUAUAAACGGAUGCAUGGGGGUGGGGCGCCUGUCCAUAUGGAUAAGAUAGGGCUAGAAACGCCCUCAUCUUGCCACAGCUCUUCUAGGCCUCUUUAGGGUUAAGGCAUACUCCCUUCUGAGAAUUUCUGGUCUAACUGGUUGUCUAGCUUCACAUCCUGUUUCCGUGGAUUGUUUGUAACCAGCUUUUGUUGCAAUUGUUACUGCUGAUUAAUAUCUUGCUAAUCAUAGGUUAUGGAAAGAUUGUGCUUCUGUUUUAAGGCUCUGUUAGAAAUUACUGACGCACACACUAUAUUGUAAAUUCUUAUCUCUCUAUGCUGUACUUCUACAUACAAAUGUACUGUACUUCUACAUACAAAUGUACUGUACUUCUACAUACAAAUGUUAUGUUAAUUACUUCAUCCCCAUGUGACCAUCUCACCUCAUAAUCAAAUGACCCUAAAUCCCUCACUAACCAACCCCCACCCUCACUUAACUUAAUAAUAAACGCUGGUAUAUCCAGAGCAUUGUUGGCACCAUGGGACCAGAAGGCGGUGACCCCCCUGGACCCAGCUUUCACUAUCUUGUGUGUGUCUAUUAUUUCCCAACCUGCUGAUCUGCCUGGGAACAAAGAGAGAGCCCCAUUGCAUUGUGGGCUGCUGACCAGAUCCUGAAGAUGCAUGCAACAACGAGACAGAGAAAUUUGCUGAAAAAGCACCACAGCAGGAAACAACUAACACAUCCAAUCAUCAAAAAGAAGAAAAGACCACGCUAACUCCUUUACAACAGACAAUCCAGACAGCCAUCCUGAACAACUUGUCUCCAGCGAUCCAGGUCUGGCUCAACCUCUGCCUCCUCCUGAUGACACUGAUCCUUCUACCUCUGUUACGCCACAGACUGUUAAAAACUAUACAUAUUGGGCCUAUAUUCCUUUUCCUCCUCUUAUUCGAGCCGUGACAUGGAUGGAUGCUCCUAUCGAGGUCUAUGUUAAUGAUAGUAUUUGGAUGCCUGGUUCUCUAGAUGAUCGUUGUCCUGCACAACCUUCAGAAGAAGGAACCCCUUUCAAUAUCACUUUAGGUUUUAGGUAUCCACCUUUCUGCCUGGGACCCACUAAUGUAUGUCUCUCAUUAGAUAUUCAAACUUGGGCUGUCACACUACCGUCUGGUCACUCUGUCCCUCCUUUAGGACACUUGAUAUCAGGGCUCUCAUUAAAACCUCUAAGGCAGAUCAAAACAGUAAUCACUGAUUAUAUUCACACAUCCCAAUAUAAGCCUUUAGACCUGUGUGUCCUCUCAACUUGUCUUCAAAUGCUGACAAAAUUAAUAUGGAAAGACUGUGUUAGCUCAGAAGGAACCGUGUUAUUUAAUUCUUCUCACUACACCAUUGUUGAUUGGGCUCCUAAAGGUCAUAUUACUAAUGAUUGCUCUCAAGGUCACAGAGAUUGUCAACAUUUUCUCUAUAAUAUUACUUAUCAAAAACGUAGUGACAGCCCUCCCCUAUUAUAUCGUAGAUUUAACUCCUUUUUUCCUCUUAAGUGGAAAGGGGCAGGGGUUGCGCCUCCAAAGCCAAGGCUCAUUGUUCCCCACAUAGGACCUGAACAUUCCAAAUUAUGGAGAUUAACAAUAGCUAUGACUGGUAUGAGAGUUUGGGCUGGAGAAAGUGUUAUAAGUAAAUCCACUUUGUCACCUCAAAAUGUAUAUACUCUCUAUAUGGAGUCCAACAAAACUAUACCACUUAAAAGUUGUGUUAAACCACCAUAUAUGUUAUUAGCAGGAAAGUUGCAUAUUAGUUCAAAAACCAACAUAAUUACCUGUGUUAAUUGUUACUUGUAUACUUGUAUUGACUCAUCCUUUAAUCAAUAUCAUAGUAUUUUAAUAGUCAGAGCCAGACAAGAUAUUUGGCUCCCUGUAGCCUUACAUAGGCCUUGGGAAUCUUCCCCCUUUAUCCAUGUUAUUAACAAUAUUCUAUAGAAAAUUCUUAAAAGGAGUAAACAAUUUAUUUUUACAUUAAUUGCAAUAAUAAUGGGCUUGAUUGCUGUUACUGUGAUUGCUGCUACUGCUGGAGUUGCAUUACGUCCAUCUAUUCAAACUGUUCAUUUUGUGGAUAAAUGGCAAAAAAAUUCUACUCGGAUGUGGAAUUCUCAGGUAUUGAUCAAAAAUUGGCUAAUCAAAUUAAUGAUCUAAGACAAACUGUUAUAUGGAUGGGAGGUAGAAUUAUGAGUUUAGAACAUAGAUUACAAAUGCAAUGUGAUUGGAAUACUUCUGAUUUUUGUAUAACUCCAUUUCAAUAUAAUGAGUCUGUUCACAAUUGGGAAUCAGUAAAAUGCCAUUUACAAGGAAGUGAAGAUAAUUUAAAGCUUUAGACAUAAGCAAACUAAAAGAACAGAUUUUUGAGGCCUCUCAAGCACACUUAACUGCUUUACCCGGUGCUGAAGUUUUAGACGGUAUCUCUGAGGGAUUAUCUAAUCUCAACCCCAUUCAAUAGGUAAAAUCUUUGGGAGGAUCCACUAUCGUUAAUUUUGUUCUGUGUAUAAUUUGUACUAUUGGUUUAUUGUUCAUGUGUAAAAUUGGAAAAAAUAUUCUUCAGUCCAAUUGUGAUCAGUGCCAAGCUAUGAUUGCUAUGGUUCAUUUAAAUCAGAGAGAAGGGGGAGAUGUAAGGAGACCCCCUGAAACUGUUGCUAUGGAAUAAAAGAUGAAAUGCUCCUGAUUAUUGUAAAUACAAAGUUGCAUGCAGGAUUGUGUAAAGACAAUGCCAGGUUGGACUGCCAGAAUGAGCCAACUGCACGUGAUGUGAUUCCCCCUGCAGAGAGCCUAUGAAUGGACGUGCAGUCAGGGAGGUUUCACAUCACCAAGAUUCCUAUCCUAGAAAGGCAGAUGUUCAUAGCUCUAGGAAUGGAAUGCGACCCUUGUGGAGAGCCUAUAAACGGAUGCAUGGGGAGGUGGCUGUCCGUAUGGAUAAGAUAGGGCUAUAAACGCCCUCAUCUUGCCACAGCUCUUCUAGGCCUCUUUAGGGUUAAGGCAUACUCCCUUCUGGGAAUUUCUGGUCUAACCGGUUGUCUAGCUUCACGUCCUGUUUCCAUGGAUUGUUUGUAACCAGCUUUUGUUGCAAUUGUUACUGCUGAUUAAUAUCUUGCUAAUCAUAGGUUAUGGAAAGAUUGUGUUUCUGUUUUAAGGCUCUGUUAGAAAUUACUGACACACACACUAUAUUGUAAAUUCUUAUCUCUCUAUACUGUACUUCUACAUACAAAUGUACUGUACUUCUACAUACAAAUGUUAUGUGAAAGAAUUACUUCAUCCCCAUGUGACCAUCUCACCUCAUAAUCAAAUGACCCUAAAUCCCUCACUAACCUACCCCCACCCUCACUAAACUUAAUAAUAAACGCUGGUAUAUCCAGUGCAUUGUUGGCACCAUGGGACC